UCGUUUUGUUUUUUUUCAGAGUAGCAAGAGGCUGUCAUCUUUUGAAGGUGGAUUAUUGUGAUUUUCCAUUUUUUGUUUGGUUUUCCUCGAAUCUGGACUUAAAAGAUAAGAAUUUUGUUGAGAUUUGAGUUUGUUGCAUUUGUUUAGUUUUGAUUCUCUUUUAACGAAUUGAUCUUUUUCGAUUAUUAGGAGAAACUUAUUAUAAGAACAAUUAAAAGUGGAUUUAUUGUGAGAGAGAUCAAUAUAUUCAUUGUUAUUGGUUAGAUGAGAGUGAGAAGUCGAGUUUAC
rnacentral:lncRNA from 1 species